rnacentral:rRNA from 1 species
AGCGAACGCUGGCGGCAGGCCUAACACAUGCAAGUCGAACGAACUCUUCGGAGUUAGUGGCGGACGGGUGAGUAACACGUGGGAACGUGCCUUUAGGUUCGGAAUAACUCAGGGAAACUUGUGCUAAUACCGAAUGUGCCCUUCGGGGGAAAGAUUUAUCGCCUUUAGGAGCGGCCCGCGUCUGAUUAGCUUGUUGGUGG